rnacentral:rRNA from 1 species
UACAGAGGUCUCAAGCGUUGUUCGGAUUCAUUGGGCGUAAAGGGUGCGUAGGCGGCGCGGUAAGUCGGGUGUGAAAUCUUGGAGCUUAACUCCGAAACUGCAUUCGAUACUGCCGUGCUUGAGGACUGGAGAGGAGAGUGGAAUUUACGGUGUAGCGGUGAAAUGCGUAGAUAUCGUAAGGAAGACCAGUGGCGAAGGCGGGUCUCUGGACAGUUCCUGACGCUGAGGCACGAAGGCCAGGGGAGCAAACGGG